GAUGAACGCUGGCGGCGUGCCUAAUACAUGCAAGUCGAGCGAACAGACGAGGAGCUUGCUCCUCUGACGUUAGCGGCGGACGGGUGAGUAACACGUGGAUAACCUACCUAUAAGACUGGGAUAACUUCGGGAAACCGGAGCUAAUACCGGAUAAUAUAUUGAACCGCAUGGUUCAAUAGUGAAAGACGGUUUUGCUGUCUCUUAUAGAUGGAUCCGCGCCGCAUUAGCUAGUUGGUAAGGUAACGGCUUACCAAGGCAACGAUGCGUAGCCGACCUGAGAGGGGGAUCGGCAACACUGGAACUGAGACACGGUCCAGACUCCUACGGGAGGCAGCAGUAGGGAAUCUUCCGAAAUGGGCGAAAGCCUGACGGAGCAACGCCGCGUGAGUGAUGAAGGUCUUCGGAUCGUAAAACUCUGUUAUUAGGGAAGAACAAAUGUGUAAGUAACUAUGCACGUCUUGACGGUACCUAAUCAGAAAGCCACGGCUAACUACGUG
rnacentral:rRNA from 1 species